rnacentral:lncRNA from 1 species
UUUUUUUAUAUAUAAUAUUAUUACCCUUAUAUAUAUAUUACUGAUACAACAUAAAUUUAAUAGGCUCUCAUUCAAGAACAAAUUUUGCUCCCUUUCUCAGGUAUUAUUUCUUCCCUUUUCAUCUUUUCCCUCUUCCCAGUUUCAAUUCUUCUUCCAGAUUCUGCUUAUCACCAAAACAGAAAAAAAAAAAACACAAAAUUGUAGUUAUUAGUUGGAAGUCAAUUACUAUAGUAUUACAUUUGUACUGAUAUUGCAAAUGUAAAACCCAAAGUAAUAACCUCCCUUAUGAGUUUCCUGUUUCAUAGCUCAUAUUUAAUGCUUUCAAUAGUAUUCAAUCUUUCAUAGAUAUAACAUGGACCCAGGAGUAUGCUUUUACCUUAAUCCCCAACAUCAUCAAAAUAUCGCCACAGUAGCUGUUUUCUUUUGCUUUUUUUUUUCGCUUUCUUGUUUUUUAAAUUUUAAAUAGUACCAUCAAAGUUUAGUUUCUAUGAAUAAAGUUUUUCAUAUUGUUUUUGCUAAAUGUAUAGUCAUUUCACCUGAGUUUCAGAGAUAAUUGUUCCUCUUUUAAUAUUCAGCAACAUUUUUUGUCCCUGUAACAGCUUUUCUGUCAAAAAAUAAUUGUCCAAGUGUACUUUGCACGUUAAUAAUGCCUGCUAACUGAUUUAAUGUCUUCAUUGCGCUUCGCUAAAGGGCCCUAACAAAUUUACACAUGACUUUACUUCUACUAUGACAAGACUAUUGUUUUUCUUUUCAUUUGUUCUUCAUUUUGUUUUUGCUUGCAAAAUACAAACUUUAUUAUCUUUCCGCUGUUUACAUCUCAUAUCACCCAAUAGUAACAAGUACAACACUGAAGUAGUAUAGUUUGUUUGCUCACUUUGGCUGUAGCUCCUUUCUUUGUAUCCAAUUAUCAAACUGCUGCUUCAACAUUCUACAAUUGUACAGUAGUAUCUCAUGACUGAAAAAGAACUAAUAGCACAUAAAUGGUUACCCCAUCAAGAUAACAGCAAAAGUCAAUAGUAUCAUACAUCCUAGGUCAUCUCUUAUGAGUUUGUGCUGUACGUUCAUUCUUUCUCCUAAGUUGCUUUUACAAGAGUUUCNNNN